rnacentral:rRNA from 1 species
ACGGGAGGCAGCAGCUAAGAAUAUUCCGCAAUGCACGAAAGUGUGACGGAGCGACGCCGCGUGGAUGAUGAAGGCCGGAAGGUUGUAAAAUCCUUUUGGACGUGAGGAAUAAGGAGAGUGAGAGAAACGCUUUCCGGUGACUGUAGCGUCAGAAUAAGCAACGGCUAAUUACGUGCCAGCAGCCGCGGUAAUACGUAAGUUGCGAGCGUUGUUCGGAAUUAUUGGGCGUAAAGGGCAUGUAGGCGGAUAUGCAAGCUUGGUGUGAAAGGCGGGAGCUCAACUCCCGAACUGCGUUGAGAACUGCAUAACUAGAGUGACUGAGGGGCAGGCAGAAUUCCAGGUGUAGGGGUGAAAUCUGUAGAUAUCUGGAAGAAUACCAAUGGCGAAGGCAGCCUGCCAGCAGAUGACUGACGCUGAGGUGCGAAGGUGCGGGGAGCAAACAGGAUUAGAUACCCUGGUA